CAAAGGUAGCGUAAUCACUUGUUCCAUAAAUGGGGACCCGUAUGAACGGCCGCAUGAGAAAGAAACUGUCUCUUGAAGAUAACCUAUGAAACUGAUCUUCCUGUGAAAAAGCAGGCAUAACAAAGCAAGACAAAAAGACCCUGCGAAACUUAAAACUAAGCAUUAAACUUAUUAAUGCCUAACUUUGAGUUGGGGCAACUAUAGAUACACUAAACAUCUUAAACAAAUCUAAACCAACAAGUUAAAAUUACUAAAACUGAUCCGGCAAAGCCGAUUAAUGAACCAAGCUACUCCAGGGAUAACAGCGCUAAAUUCUUUAAGAGUCCACAUCAACAAGAAUUCUUACGACCUCGAUGUUGGAUCAGGGUACCCAAACAGUGCAGAAGCUGUUAAAGGUUCGUUUGUUCAACGACUAACCGGGAUAGUUUAACAAAACACUAGGUCGUGACCCUAAUAAUAGAACCAUGUUCUUCCAGGCCAAGAAGACUUCCAGAACCGCUAACUCUGAACCACUGAGCCUAGAACCUCAGACUUCUUACUUU
rnacentral:rRNA from 1 species